AGCAGCCGCGGUAAUUCCAGCUCCAAUAGCGUAUAUUAAAGUUGUUGCAGUUAAAAAGCUCGUAGUUGAAUUUCGGGGUCAGUAGAUUGGUCGUGCCACUGGUAUGUACUGGUCUUACUGGCUCCUCCUCCCUGAUGAACCGUAAUGCCAUUAAUUUGGUGUUGCGGGGAGACUGGACUGUUACUUUGAAAAAUUAGAGUGUUUAAAGCAGGCUAACGCUUGAAUACAUUAGCAUGGAAUAAUGAAAUAGGACGUUCGAUCUUAUUUUGUUGGUUUCUAAGAUUGACGUAAUGAUUAAUAGGGAUAGUUGGGGGCAUUAGUAUUCAAUUGUCAGAGGUGAAAUUCUUGGAUUUAUUGAAGACUAACUACUGCGAAAGCAUUUGCCAAGGAUGUUUUCAUUAAUC
rnacentral:sRNA from 1 species